rnacentral:rRNA from 1 species
GUCCUACGGGAGGCAGCAGUGGGGGAUAUUGCACAAUGGGGGGAACCCUGAUGCAGCGACGCCGCGUGGGUGAAGAAGCGCCUCGGCGCGUAAAGCCCUGUCAGCAGGGAAGAAAAUGACGGUACCUGAGUAGGAAGCUCCGGCUAAAUACGUGCCAGCAGCCGCGGUAAUACGUAUGGAGCAAGCGUUAUCCGGAUUUACUGGGUGUAAAGGGAGCGCAGGCGGUCUGGCAAGUCUGAUGUGAAAUACCGGGGCUCAACUCCGGGACUGCAUUGGAAACUGU